rnacentral:rRNA from 1 species
AUUGAACGCUGGCGGCAGGCUUAACACAUGCAAGUCGAACGAGUGGCGGACGGGUGAGUAAUGCUUGGGAAUCUAGCUUAUGGAGGGGGAUAACUCCGGGAAACUGUAGCUAAUACCGCGUACCAUAGGAUGAGCCCAAGGGGGAGUAGCUAGUUGGUGAGGUAAUGGCUCACCAAGGCGACGAUCCCGAGCUGGUCUGAGAGGAUGAUCAGCCACACGAGGACUGAGACACGGCCCGGACUCCUACGGGAGGCAGCAGUGGGGAAUAUGGCGCAAUGGGCGCAAGCCUGAUGCAGCCAUGCCGCGUGGAUGAAGAAGGCCUUAGGGUUGUAAAGUACUUUCAGCGGGGAGGCGUUACCUGCAGAAGAAGCACCGGCUAACUCCGUGCCAGCAGCCGCGGUAAUAC